AUUGAACGCUGGCGGCAUGCUUUACACAUGCAAGUCGAACGGCAGCGCGGGCUUCGGCCUGGCGGCGAGUGGCGAACGGGUAAGUAAUACAUCGGAACGUGCCCAGUAGUGGGGGAUAGCUCGGCGAAAGCCGGAUUAAUACCGCAUACGACCUGAGGGUGAAAGCGGGGGAUCUUCGGACCUCGCGCUAUUGGAGCUGCCGAUGGCAGAUUAGCUAGUUGGUGGGGUAAAGGCCUACCAAGGCGACGAUCUGUAGCUGGUCUGAGAGGACGACCAGCCACACUGGGACUGAGACACGGCCCAGACUCCUACGGGAGGCAGCAGUGGGGAAUUUUGGACAAUGGGCGAAAGCCUGAUCCAGCAAUGCCGCGUGUGUGAUGAAGGCCUUCGGGUUGUAAAGCACUUUUGGCGGGAACGAAAAGGACUGUGCCAAUACCACGGUUCGAUGACGGUACCCGCAGAAUAAGCACCGGCUAACUACGUG
rnacentral:rRNA from 1 species